UACAGAGGGUGCAAGCGUUGUUCGGAAUUAUUGGGCGUAAAGCGCGUGUAGGCGGCUUUGCAAGUCGGGUGUGAAAGCCCUCAGCUCAACUGAGGAAGUGCGCCCGAAACUGCAGAGCUUGAGUACCGGAGAGGAUGGUGGAAUUCCCCAAGUAGAGGUGAAAUUCGUAGAUAUGGGGAGGAACACCGGUGGCGAAGGCGACCAUCUGGACGGAUACUGACGCUGAGACGCGAAAGCCAGGGGAGCAAACGGG
rnacentral:rRNA from 1 species